rnacentral:rRNA from 1 species
UGCAAGUCGAACGAGAGAAUUGCUAGCUUGCUAAUAAUUCUCUAGUGGCGCACGGGUGAGUAACACGUGAGUAACCUGCCCCCAAGAGUGGGAUAGCCCCGGGAAACUGGGAUUAAUACCGCAUAAAAUCGCAAGAUUAAGGCAGCAAUGCGCUUGGGGAUGGGCUCGCGUCCUAUUAGUUAGUUGGUGAGGUAACGGCUCACCAAGGCGAUGACGGGUAGCCGGUCUGAGAGGAUGUCCGGCCACACUGGAACUGAGACACGGUCCAGACACCUACGGGUGGCAGCAGUCGAGAAUCAUUCACAAUGGGGGAAACCCUGAUGGUGCGACGCCGCGUGGGGGAAUGAAGGUCUUCGGAUUGUAAACCCCUGUCAUGUGGGAGCAAAUUAAAAAGAUAGUACCACAAGAGGAAGAGACGGCUAACUCUGUGCCAGCAGCCGCGGUAAUACAGAGGUCUCAAGCGUUGUUCGGAAUCACUGGGCGUAAAGCGUGCGUAGGCGGUUUCGUAAGUCGUGUGUGAAAGGCGGGGGCUCAACCCCCGGACUGCACAUGAUACUGCGAGACUAGAGUAAUGGAGGGGGAACCGGAAUUCUCGGUGUAGCAGUGAAAUGCGUAGAUAUCGAGAGGAACACUCGUGGCGAAGGCGGGUUCCUGGACAUUAACUGACGCUGAGGCACGAAGGCCAGGGGAGCGAAAGGGAUUAGAUACCCCUGUAGUCCUGGCAGUAAACGGUGCACGCUUGGUGUGCGGGGAAUCGACCCCCUGCGUGCCGGAGCUAACGCGUUAAGCGUGCCGCCUGGGGAGUACGGUCGCAAGAUUAAA